CAGGUCUAGAACCCAAACCUUCAACCCCUGAGCUUUCCUGCCUUCGAGUCCUCGGAGCUCUCCUGGAGGCUGAGCAGGCAACAGAGCCUGCUCCUCAGCUGGAUGUGGCCCGUGGGAGGUGGAGAAACUGAGGCUCAGAUAAAUGACUAAGAAGUAAAGUGAGGUCCCAUAGCCAGUGAAUGGCAGAGCAGGGAUUCGAACCCAGGUCUCUCAUCUGGGAAGUGGGAUGAUAGCGCCAACCUAGCUGGAUUGCUGUGACUGCCAGCACAAUGCCUUCUAAGGGUUCAAGGCUGCCUUUCAGUGACAGGCUGCUGAGGACACCCUAGGCCAGGAGCCACCCCACCUGGCCCACCGAGGCUCUGGACCCUCCCAGGGCUAUUGCUUCUCUGGAGUUGGGUGAUGAACAGAGGGUUGGACCCCCCAAGCCCUGCAUGGGGGUAGAGGCCCUCCCUGAGAAGGACCUCCAGAGCCCAGCUCUGCUCUCCCAGGGUGUGGUUCCAUGGGAGGUGGGCUCCACUGGUCCUAAGCUCUGGGCAGGUUGGCAUCCCCAGAGGGCAAUGCUGACAACACCUCCCUUGGCACCCCCAAGGGUUCGUUUCUCAGCAGCAACUUCCAAAGGCUGUUCCCCCAGGUCUCUGUCCCUUUCCUGAGCCCUCCCCUGUCCUUCUCCAGGCAACCCACAGCCCCAGCAGCCUGUGCACAUUUAGCGCUGGAUCCCUGAUCCCUUGGGCUUGGCCUCACUCCUCUCUGGCUCCAUGCCCCCAGAUCUCUUUGGCAUGACCAACAACUGGCUGGCGAGCCCAGAGAUGGGGGAAGAAGGGCCCUGAGCCAUGAGUGCACCUCACUGCAUGGCCCUGGUCAGGUCCCUCUGCCUCCCGGGGCCUCACUGUGUCCACAGCCUCCUGCACGCCACGAAGCACCUCCCCGAUGUGCCAGCUCCCCCAGCACCAGCCUCAUCCCAAGGAAGGAGGAGGCGACUCCCACUACUCAAGGGGCUGUUCCCCAUGGCACCCCUCAGGCCGCUGCAGGAGACUAUAAGCCCCUCACAACCGAGGCCAUUUUCCCCACUCCCUUCCCCGCAAGCCCUAAAUGGCCCAGCAACAACUCUGAACUCUGAUCUCGGUCAGCCCAGCACGGGUGGGGCAGGAGGUUCUGUCAACAGCGAGAGAAACUCGUUAACUGAAUGUCAAUAGGAUUAAAGGCUCUGAUGGUCCAGG
rnacentral:lncRNA from 1 species